UUUGUGAUGUAAAUGAUGGGACGUGCUACAUUUGCAAAGAAACCUUCACUGGACCAACGUGUAGCAGAAGAACUGAAAAUGUAGCACUACAGAAAGAGGCAAUCCUUCGUUGGAACUUUGAAGGAUUUGAUGCUUAUCUUCCUUCUUAUCUUCUUGUCGAUGGAUAUACGAAACGGCCAAGCUGUAUUGCCUUUAAUGUACUCAGUGCUGGAGAAAUUUAUAAGUUACGGGUCAAUCUUCUGAGAAUUUACAACAUUAAAGGAGUGCAGUUCCACUUUAUUAAAGAUGAUCCUGAAACUAUUUGGUUCAAAUAUACGGUAUACCCAUACUGGUCUUACUUGCCUUCCGUGUACUGGUAUUCAGGGAUGGAGG